UACGGGGGGGGGCAAGCGUUGUUCGGAAUUACUGGGCGUAAAGGGCGCGUAGGCGGUUUGCUAAGUUGAAUGUGAAAACUCUGGGCUUAACCCAGAGCCUGCAUUCAAUACUGGCAGGCUAGAGUUCUGGAGGGGAUAGCGGAAUUCCUGGUGUAGCGGUGAAAUGCGUAGAUAUCAGGAGGAACACCGGUGGCGAAGGCGGCUAGUCCUGGACA
rnacentral:rRNA from 1 species